AGAGAAGCAAGGAGACAAUGAAUCAAAGAAACAGAGAAGCAAGGAGACAAUGAAACAAAGAAACAGAGUAGCAAGGAAACAAGGAAGAAGACAAUGAAACAAAGAAGCAAUUAUGAAUAUGUAUGCAUGUUUGAAUGCAAGUGAACAAGUAAAUAUGCAAAGAAUCAAAGAAGAAUAUAAGAAAACAAGUAACAACAACACGCAAGGAACUAAGGAAUGGUGACAAACAAAAAUUGAGGAAACCUCUGUGGUAUCCUCCUCCGUAUACACCACCACGACGUACUCCUUCACUGUCACAUCCUUUACUUCAUCUUCAUCUCCUGCGAGAAAAGAGACAAUCUGUUACAAACAAAUGCACCAGGUUUAACGAAAAUAAUACUUACCAAGUUCCAAAUCUUCUUUGCUGAUAUUAACCAACUUCUUUUCUUUGUAGAUUUGUAAAUUCUGAAUUGCAACCUCAUCAACCAAGUAUAGAACCUACCAUUCGAAAAGCCAGCAGUAAGAAAACAAAUCAAACCAGAAUCAUGUGCCAAGACAAUAUCUUUUCAAGAUGAAAACC
rnacentral:lncRNA from 1 species